rnacentral:rRNA from 1 species
UAAUACGGAAGGGGCAAGCGUUGUUCGGAAUCAUUGGGCGUAAAGGGCGCGUAGGUGGUUCUGUAUGUCUAUCGUGAAAGCGUACGGCUCAACCGUAUUUUGUCGGUAGAAACUGCAGGACUUGAGGCUGGGAGGGGCUGGUGGAAUUCCCUGUGUAGCGGUGAAAUGCGUAGAGAUGGGGGAGAACACUCGUGGCGAAGGCGGCCAGCUAGACCAGUUCUGACACUGAGGCGCGACAGCGUGGGGAGCAAACAGGAUUAGAUACCCUGGUAGUCCACGCCGUAAACGAUGGAUGCUAGGUGUGGGCGGUGUCGACUCCGUCCGUGCCGAAGCUAACGCAUUAAGCAUCCCGCCUGGGGAGUACGGCCGCAAGGCUA